rnacentral:rRNA from 1 species
GACGAGCGGCGGACUGGUGAGUAAUGUCUGGGAAACUGCCUGAUGGAGGGGGAAAAUAGGGGGGACGGUAGGAAUACAGCAUAACGUCGCAAGACCAAAGAGGGGGACCUUCGGGCCUCUUGCCACAGAGGGGGUGGGUGGGAUUAGCUAGUAGGUGGGGUAACGGCUCACCUAGGCGACAAUCCCUAGCUGGUCUGAGAGGAUGACCAGCCACACUGGAACUGAGACACGGUCCAGACUCCUACGGGAGGCAGCAGUGGGGAAUAUUGUACAAUGGGCGCAAGCCUGAUGCAGCCAUGCCGCGUGUAUGAAGAAGGCCUUCGGGUUGUAAAGUACUUUCACCGGGGAGGAAGGCGCCCCCCUUAAUAACCUUGUCGAUUGACGUUUCCCUCAGAUUAAGACCGGCUAACUCCGUGCCAACAGCCGCGGGAAUACGGAGGGUGCUAGCUUUUAUCUGAAUUACAGGGCGUAAAGCCGCACGCGGGCGGUCUGUCAAGUCGGAUAUGAAAAUCCCGGGGUUCUACCCGGGAAAAGGCAUUUCGGACAGGGGGGCUAUAGUUUUGUAUAGGGGGGGGUCAAAAUUCCAGGUGGUACCGGUGAAAUGCCCUAGAGAUCUGCGAGGAAAUACCCCGCCGGG